UUAGCGCCACCAAAUGAAGAGGAAAAGAGAGGAGAGAGGGAAGGAGAGAGGAAGGGAGGAAAGGAAAGGAAAGGAAAGGGAAAAGAAAAGAAAGAAAAAAAAGAAAAGAAAAGAAAAGAAAAGAAAGAAAAGAAAAGAAGAAAAGAAAAGAAAAGAAAAGAAAAGAAAAGAAAAGAAAAGAAAAGAAAAGAAAAGAAAAGAAAAGAAGUCACCAUUCACAGCUAAGAAUGAGGGAGGAGCAGAGUGAUUUUUAUGAAAAAUGAGUUCAUCACCCUCGACUUGAAUAAAAUCUGGAGAAGCGAACUUUAGGGACACCUGGGUGACUCAGUCUAAGCAUCGACUCUUGGUUUUGGCUCAGGUCAUGACCUCACAGGUUGUGAGGUCGAGCCCUGCGUCAGGCUCCCCGCUCAGUGCGGAGUCUGCUUGAGAUUCUCUCUCCCUCUCUCUCCCUCUGCCCCUUCCCCACCGCCCUCUCUCUCUCUCUCUCAUAAAGAAAUGAAUCUUUGAACUAAAAAAAGAAGUGAGCCUUAUACAAAACAUCAAAAUGCCAAAUUGGCACUAGCCAUCAACCAGGAAUGACGUCUCCUUGUCUGCGUCAGGCACUUCAUAACCUGGUACGUUAUGUUAUUUACCUCAAUUAACUUUCAAAGUAAUAGAUAUUUUUUCCACUCUUUUAAAGGAACAACUUUUCAAAAAUAAGAACCUCUCCUCCUCAGUUGGGUUGCACGCAUCCUUGUUUUUAAGCAGAAGAUACCAAAUUGGAUUGAACUGUCUUUAUUCACUCAGGGUCCAAUGAAACAAGUGUGCAAGUGCUCUGUAGACCACAGGACAAUGAAGCUCUGGGCCACUCCUCCUCCUCCUCUUCCCCACACUGUGGGCUCUGAGCCACGACGGUUGGGACAUUUCCUGUCUGCUUUUUACAGCUUCCCUGUGUCCUGUAGCCGUCACUUUUGCUUGCAGGAGCACCUUGCCUUCAUUCUGUUUUGCUCUCUCUGUUGGCUUGUGAAAUCGGAUAACAACGCCUGUCAACGGGUCCCUGAGGAUUGAUUAGUACUCGUUGACCUAGUAUGGCAUCUGCGGUGCACUUCCUAGUGGAGGAUUUGUGUCUCUCCUUAACCUGGAACAUCCUCACCUGAAUUUGCCACCAAUCUCAUUCUCAACCAUCUAUGAGGUAUGUGGUGGAGCUCUUCCAUCAGUUUUUUAAGUUUCUUAACUGCUCUCACAGUUUUUAUUCUGUUUAUCUCUUGAAGAUGCAUCCCGGG
rnacentral:lncRNA from 12 species